GAUGAACGCUGGCGGCGUGCCUAAUACAUGCCAGUCGAGCGAACAGACUAGGAACUUGUUCCUCUGACGUUAGCGGCGGACGGGUGAGUAACACGUGGGUAACCUACCUAUAAGACUGGGAUAACUUCGGGAAACCGGAGCUAAUACCGGAUAAUAAAUUGAACCGCAUGUUUUAAUAGUGAAAGACGGUUUUGCUUUCACUUAUAGUGGUAUCCCCGGCUCUUUAGCUAUUUGGUAAGGUAACGGCGCACCAAGGGAAGGAUAAUCAGCCGACCUGAAAGGGUGGUCGGCCACAAUGGGGAGGAGACACGGCCCAACCUACUACUGGAGGCAGCAGUAGGGAAUCGUCGGAAAUGGACGAAAGUCUGACCGAGCAACGCAGCGUGAGUGAAGAAUGUUUUCGGAUCGUAAAACUCUGUUGGUAGAGAAGAACGGUGGUGAGAGUGGAAAGCUCAUCAAGUGACGGUAACUACCCAGAAAGGGACGGCUAACUACGUG
rnacentral:rRNA from 1 species